UACGGAGGGUGCAAGCGUUAUCCGGAUUCACUGGGCUUAAAGGGUGCGUAGGCGGGCAGGUAAGUCAGUGGUGAAAUCUCCGGGCUUAACCCGGAAACUGCCGUUGAUACUAUUUGUCUUGAAUAUUGUGGAGGUAAGCGGAAUAUGUCAUGUAGCGGUGAAAUGCUUAGAUAUGACAUAGAACACCAAUUGCGAAGGCAGCUUACUACACAAUGAUUGACGCUGAGGCACGAAAGCGUGGGGAUCAAACAGG
rnacentral:rRNA from 1 species